GAGGAUGUAGCUCAGGGGUAGAGCACAUGCUUGGCAUGUACAAGGCCCUGGGUUUAAUCCCCAGCACCAUUU
rnacentral:tRNA from 1 species